AGUGGCGAACGGGUGAGUAAUAUAUCGGAACGUACCCUAGAGUGGGGGAUAACGUAGCGAAAGUUACGCUAAUACCGCAUACGAUCUAAGGAUGAAAGUGGGGGAUCGCAAGACCUCAUGCUCGUGGAGCGGCCGAUAUCUGUUUAGCUAGUUGGUAGGGUAAAAGCCUACCAAGGCAUCGAUCAGUAGCUGGUCUGAGAGGACGACCAGCCACACUGGAACUGAGACACGGUCCAGACUCCUACGGGAGGCAGCAGUGGGGAAUUUUGGACAAUGGGCGAAAGCCUGAUCCAGCAAUGCCGCGUGAGUGAAGAAGGCCUUCGGGUUGUAAAGCUCUUUUGUCAGGGAAGAAACGGUGAGAGCUAAUAUCUCUUGCUAAUGACGGUACCUGAAGAAUAAGCACCGGCUAACUACGUGCCAGCAGCCGCGGUAAUACGUAGGGUGCAAGCGUUAAUCGGAAUUACUGGGCGUAAAGCGUGCGCAGGCGGUUUUGUAAGUCUGAUGUGAAAUCCCCGGGCUCAACCUGGGAAUUGCAUUGGAGACUGCAAGGCUAGAAUCUGGCAGAGGGGGGUAGAAUUCCACGUGUAGCAGUGAAAUGCGUAGAUAUGUGGAGGAACACCGAUGGCGAAGGCAGCCCCCUGGGUCAAGAUUGACGCUCAUGCACGAAAGCGUGGGGAGCAAACAGGAUUAGAUACCCUGGUAGUCCACGCCCUAAACGAUGUCUACUAGUUGU
rnacentral:rRNA from 1 species